rnacentral:tRNA from 2 species
UGCGGGGUAGAGCAGUCUGGUAGCUCGUUGGGCUCAUAACCCAAAGGUCAUCGGUUCAAAUCCGAUCCCCGCUACCA